AUUGAACGCUGGCGGCAGGCCUAACACAUGCAAGUCGAGCGGAUGAAGGGAGCUUGCUCCUGGAUUCAGCGGCGGACGGGUGAGUAAUGCCUAGGAAUCUGCCUUGUAGUGGGGGAUAACGUCCGGAAACGGGCGCUAAUACCGCAUACGUCCUGAGGGAGAAAGUGGGGGAUCUUCGGACCUCACGCUAUCAGAUGAGCCUAUGUCGGAUUAGCUAGUUGGUGGGGUAAAGGCCUACCAAGGCGCCGAUCCGUAACUAGUCUGAGAGGAUGAUCAGUCACAAUGGAACUGAGACACGGUCCCGACUCCUACGGGAGGCAGCAGUGGGGAAUAUUGGACAAUGGGCGAAAGCCUGAUCCAGCCAUACCGCGUGUGUGAAGAAGGUCUUCGGAUUGUAAAGCACUUUAAGUUGGGAGGAAGGGCAGUAAGUUAAUACCUUGCUGUUUUGACGUUACCAACAGAAUAAGCACCGGCUAACUUCGUG
rnacentral:rRNA from 1 species